ACCAGGAAUCGAACUGUGACCUCCUGGUUCAUAGGUUGACGCUCAACCACUGAGCAACACCGGCCGGGCUCAUCUAACUUUUAAAGUUCAGUUUUUAACUCUGGCCCUCCUGGGCUCUGAUUAUGACCUGUAUGAGUAUAGUAGCCCCUUGAGCACUCGUAGCCCUUUAGAAACCCAUAUAGAGUCCUAAAAACCUUUUGACUUGCAAAUGACAGGUUGACUGACCCAGUGUCUUUGGGUUCUAUAGGCUCCAGGCUUGUUUGGUGGAAUGUUCAGUGUAUCUCUUAGAAUUUUUAACACUUACUUCAAGUAACUCUAUUCUUGUCAGCAUUAACUCGUUGCCCUUAUGGGGACUAUGAUGGGCCUUCCAGGAAGCCAUGUUUCAAGUUUAAAAAGUAGAGGCGAGUAGUCUCUACUUGAUGGAAAAUCUGUAUAAGUCUUGUUCUGUAUGACAUUUCAAGAAAGCUUUAUAUAGUAGUUCCUUUUUCUAGAAAUUUCAAGAAAGUUUUAUAUAGUUCCCUUUUCUAGUCAUUUUAACUCUGACUAUAAUCAGGAGUCUGUGCUCCCAUUAUGGAGACCACAUUCCUAACAUUCUUCGGAAGCCUUAGUUCAUACCCCCAUUCAGACAUGGGAGGUUAGGUUUGCCGCCACCGGAGUCCCUUUUCAAUUUCUCCCUGUGGCUUAGGGAGAAACUGAAAAACUCCAGCAUCAGUUUUCUAGCAGAUUCCCCAUAUUUUUUGCCUGAGUGGGGAGGAAAGGGCUAAUGGACAUGUAAUUGUGUUAUAGUUCAUUAAGUUUUCUUUUUAAAAGGCAUUCUGACAAAAGGUGCAGAAUAUUCCUGAAAGUCUUCAGGCUAUCAAAGCCCCAUGUAGACACUUGGAGGUGUUAUUUAAACACUCAGCAGGCUGAGUGCAGGAGUACAUAUGUGUAACACAUGUAUACUGUGCUUUUGUUUUACAACAUUGUUAGCAAAUUUCAGAUUCCUUUUUCCUUGGCACCCAUUAUUAUUAAAGUAAUGGAAUGCCGUGAAAUGUACUGUAUUGUAUAUUACUUGGGAAGAUACUAGGUAUUAAAGAAGUUUGGUGGCAAUUGGGCUGUUAAGGGCUUAGCAAGACCAAAGUCUGAAGAUUUUACCUCCUAGCUUUGGGCUAGUGGUGAGGGUUGGGGGUGGGGGGUGGCACAGAGAAGGAUGAGAUGAAAUAAUUACCCUGUGUUCUAUUCUUCUAGUCAGUUUAAUUAUGGCAAUUUCCCCGAAAAGGAACACCUGGGCAUUUUUAAUGCCCUUGCAGUCUGAUCACUUAUGUUGCUUCAGAACUGAGUGGGGGACCUUUCUGCAGAGCAGUUGGAAGAAUGGAGUCUGGAGCCAGGAGUGGCUCACCUGUGCCUAAGGAGCCAGCAGCAAAGCAAGUCCAGCUGAGAGGAUGGCAGAGACUGUGAACACCUGGCACUGGGUAGGCCUUCUUCCCCAGAGGGUUGAAAAGAAAAUCGGUCUGGACAGCUGGUUGUCUUUUGUCUUUAUGUAAUAUUUUUGUUUGUUGUAAAGCACUAAUGUUUAUUACAGUGUUAAAUAAAAGUGUAACAUACUAAGUGUGUAGAUAAAAGUGCAAUAACUAGAGAAAUUACUUUGGCACAAACUUCAGUCCUUACGUGCUCUCCUUUCUUGUGCUCCCCGUCUCUUUCCACACUGUUACAUUUCUGCAUUGUUACAGCAGGACCCUGUUAAUUGUGCGUAUUUUUAAGAGACGCAAUGAAGGGAUAAGCCUUCGCUUCAUGUAAUUCUGAAGGGUUGGGUUUGGUUUUAUAGAGUAUUCUGUAUACUUGUUUGGAUGUACAAAUAGCAGAUGUGCUGUAUAAUAAAGACCGCAUUAACGUUUUAA